CUUGGUCAUUUAGAGGAAGUAAAAGUCGUAACAAGGUCUCCGUUGGUGAACCAGCGGAGGGAUCAUUACAGAGUUGCAAAACUCCCUAAACCAUUGUGAACGUUACCUUCAAACCGUUGCUUCGGCGGGCGGCCCGGGUCCGCCCGGUGCCCCCUGGCCCCCUAGCGGGGCGCCCGCCGGAGGAAACCCAACUCUUGAUUAUUAUGGCCUCUCUGAGUCUUCUGUACUGAAUAAGUCAAAACUUUCAACAACGGAUCUCUUGGUUCUGGCAUCGAUGAAGAACGCAGCGAAAUGCGAUAAGUAAUGUGAAUUGCAGAAUUCAGUGAAUCAUCGAAUCUUUGAACGCACAUUGCGCCCGCCAGUAUUCUGGCGGGCAUGCCUGUUCGAGCGUCAUUUCAACCAUCAAGCCCCAGGCUUGUGUUGGGGACCUGCGGCUGCCGCAGGCCCUGAAAACCAGUGGCGGGCUCGCUGUCACACCGGGCGUAGUAGAUUUUAUCUCGCUCAGGGCGUGCUGCGGGUUCCGGCCGUUAAAAAGCCUUUUUUACCCAAGGUUGACCUCGGAUCAGGUAGGAAUACCCGCUGAACUUAAGCAUAUCAAUAAGCGGAGGAAAAGAAACCAACAGGGAUUGCCCCAGUAACGGCGAGUGAAGCGGCAACAGCUCAAAUUUGAAAUCUGGCUUCGGCCCGAGUUGUAAUCUGCAGAGGAAGCUUUAGGCGCGGCACCAUCUGAGUCCCCUGGAACGGGGCGCCACAGAGGGUGAGAGCCCCGUAUAGAUGGACGCCUAGCCUGUGUAAAGCUCCUUCGACGAGUCGAGUUGUUUGGGAAU
rnacentral:sRNA from 1 species